AUGCUUGCUUCAGCAGCACACAUACUAAAAUUGGAACAAUACAGAGGAGAUUAGCAUGGCCCCUGCGCAAGGAUGACACACAAAUUCGUGAAGGAUUCCAUAUUUUC
rnacentral:snRNA from 1 species